rnacentral:tRNA from 1 species
AACUAGUACAGCUGACUUCCAAUCAGUUAGAUCUAGUAAUAGCCUAGAAGAUAGUA